rnacentral:rRNA from 1 species
GACGAACGCUGGCGGCGUGCCUAAUACAUGCAAGUCGAGCGGAUGGAAGGAAGCUUGCUUCCUAAAGUCAGCGGCGGACGGGUGAGUAACACGUGGGCAACCUGCCCCUAAGAUCGGGAUAACUUCGGGAAACCGGAGCUAAUACCGGAUAUGAUUAUGUCUCACAUGAGACAUAAUGGAAAGACGGUUUCGGCUGUCACUUAGGGAUGGGCCCGCGGCGCAUUAGCUAGUUGGUGAGGUAACGGCUCACCAAGGCGACGAUGCGUAGCCGACCUGAGAGGGUGAUCGGCCACACUGGGACUGAGACACGGCCCAGACUCCUACGGGAGGCAGCAGUAGGGAAUCUUCCGCAAUGGACGAAAGUCUGACGGAGCAACGCCGCGUGAGUGAAGAAGGUUUUCGGAUCGUAAAACUCUGUUGUUAGGGAAGAACAAGUACCAUAGUAACUGAUGGUACCUUGACGGUACCUAACCAGAAAGCCACGGCUAACUACGUGCCAGCCGCCGCCGCGGUAA